rnacentral:rRNA from 1 species
UGAUGUCCACCACAUUAAAAAUGACUCUCGGCAACGGAUAUCUCGGCUCUUGCAUCGAUGAAGAACGUAGCGAAAUGCGAUACUUGGUGUGAAUUGCAGAAUCCCGUGAACCAUCGAGUCUUUGAACGCAAGUUGCGCCCAAAGCCAUUUGGUUGAGGGCACGCCUGCCUGGGUGUCGCG